ensembl:lncRNA
CUAUGAAUUCUGUCCUCUGUUAUCUUUCAUAAAAAUCAAGUUCAAGCAAGUGUUUUGGUGUACGUUUAUUAAAUACAAUAUGUACUAGCCAAAAUAAUUAUUUGAUAUUUUUGUAUUUUGCCGUUUCAUGAUUUAUUUUAUUAUACAUAAUUGUUUUACUGUUUAAAUGCUGCUGAUAAGCCAUUAAAGGCAGGUUCGAAAGGGAGUACUUGAACUGGGGCAUAUUGUCUACAAAGGUCGCCAUGUGUUCAGUGACCUCUAUGGUUUUUCCUGAACAGUGGAAAUGUUCCAUCACUUUUGUGUAGCCAGUGAUUUAAAGCAUGUGUCUAUACAGAGACCGACUUUCAAAACUAAACCUACUCUAAGAAAUAUUCACUGGAGUAAAAAGUGUGACAACUAGCCCUAUUUAGCACAUACUCAUCAAACCCAAUUUGAGUGACCUCAAAGCAGAUAAACACUCAAAGUGUUUGAAAUUAAUGCCAGUUAAGCAUCUGUCCAAGUGCUGGCAGUGUAAGAUGUGUGCAUAAGGCUCAUCUGACGAUCUGAAGGAGGAGGAACAGUAUCAUCAGCCUCCCCCUCCCUCAGCGGACGCUCACGCGCUCAGCACUCCAGCACAGCGCACAUGGAUUCUGCGCGCUCACAAGUGUUUGCACCGGGCAUCUUGGCACAAGUGGCUUGUUUUCUUCUGCCUUGAAGGAUGACUUCCCGCUCUUUAUGCUGAGGACUGCUCGGAACUUACGCUAAGAAAGAAAUAUUAUUCAUGAAACUAGCAAGAAAUGAAGAUGAACCUUGUGAAUUGUUUGGCUCUUCUCUUAGUCUGGCACGCGCACGCGGGAUUUGAAAGCUCAUGGAAUUUCUGCUUCCCAAAAAUCCCUAAAACUAGGUUUUCAAUCCAUGGAUCAAGAGGUAUCGUCAGAUACUGAAGACAUAUAACACAGAGAUCCCAUCAAAGCUCCAAGAGGAAGUUGUGUGUGGUUGUGCUCUAUUAGAAUUCAAUCCCUGACCAAUUUCAUACAGCAACAUUUAAUGCCAUUUUUUAUUUCGCGUCUCCUCGUCCUCCUGGGGUUUGAUGGUAUCGUAUUGUAUUUCUGUGACAGGCUUUUGUGGAUCUGAAAAAUACAAUGUUUUAGAGGCAGAACAAUAAACAGUUUUUUUCUUUUUCUCUAAACA